UGCAAGGUGCUGCAUGGUUGUCGUCAGCUCGUGCCGUGAGGUGUCGGGUUAAGUCCCAUAACGAGCGCAACCCUUAUCGUUAGUUGCCAGCUGGUAAAGCAGGGGACUCUAGCGAACUGCCACCGUAAGGUGAGAGGAAGGUGGGAUGACGUCAAAUCAGCACGGCCCUUAUGUCCAGGGCUACACACGUGUUACAAUGGCCGGCACAGAGGGCAGCUACCUGGUGACAGGAUGCUAAUCUCGAAAACCGGCCUCAGUUCGGAUCGAAGUCUGCAACUCGACUUCGUGAAGCUGGAUUCGCUAGUAAUCGCGCAUCAGCCAUGGCGCGGUGAAUACGUUCCCGGGCCUU
rnacentral:rRNA from 1 species